GCAUAUCAAUAAGCGGAGGAAAAGAAACUAACUAGGAUUCCCUUAGUAACGGCGAGUGAACCGGGAUGAGCUCAAAUUUGAAAUCUGGCGUCUUUCAGGCGUCCGAGUUGUAAUCUAUAGAGGCGUUUUCCGCGCCGGACCGCGUCCAAGUCUCUUGGAAUAGAGUAUCAAAGAGGGUGACAAUCCCGUACUUGACGCGACAACCGGUGCUCUGUGAUACGUUCUCAAUGAGUCGAGUUGUUUGGGAAUGCAGCUCUAAAUGGGUGGUAAAUUCCAUCUAAGGCUAAAUAUUGGCGAGAGACCGAUAGCGAACAAGUACCGUGAGGGAAAGAUGAAAAGCACUUUGGAAAGAGAGUUAAACAGCACGUGAAAUUGUUAAAAGGGAAACGAUUGAAGUCAGUCGUGUGGGAAGUAUUCAGCCGUCUCUGGCGGUGUAUUUGCUUCUCACGGGUCAACAUCAGUUUGAUCCGGUAGAAAAAGGCGGGAAGAAGGUGGCACCCUCGGGUGUGUUAUAGCUUCCUGUCAUAUGUGCCGGACCAGACUGAGGAACGCAGCUUGCAGCAAUGCCGGGGUUCGCCCACGUACAAGCUUAGGAUGUUGACAUA
rnacentral:rRNA from 1 species